rnacentral:rRNA from 1 species
GAUGAACGCUGGCGGCGUGCCUAAUACAUGCAAGUCGAGCGAACAGAUAAGGAGCUUGCUCCUUUGACGUUAGCGGCGGACGGGUGAGUAACACGUGGGUAACCUAUCUAUAAGACUGGAAUAACUCCGGGAAACCGGGGCUAAUGCCGGAUAACAUUUUGAACCGCAUGGUUCUACAGUGAAAGGCGGCUUUGCUGUCACUUAUAGAUGGACCCGCGCCGUAUUAGCUAGUUGGUGAGGUAACGGCUCACCAAGGCAACGAUACGUAGCCGACCUGAGAGGGUGAUCGGCCACACUGGAACUGAGACACGGUCCAGACUCCUACGGGAGGCAGCAGUAGGGAAUCUUCCGCAAUGGGCGAAAGCCUGACGGAGCAACGCCGCGUGAGUGAUGAAGGUCUUCGGAUCGUAAAACUCUGUUAUUAGGGAAGAACAAAUGCGUAAGUAACUGUGCGCGUCUUGACGGUACCUAAUCAGAAAGCCACGGCUAACUACGUG